UACGUAGGGAGCAAGCGUUGUCCGGAAUCAUUGGGCGUAAAGCGCGCGUAGGCGGCCUCAUAAGUCCGUUGUGAAAGUCAAAGGCUCAACCUUUGAAAGCCGAUGGAUACUGUGAGGCUAGAGUCCGGAAGAGGCGAGUGGAAUUCCUGGUGUAGCGGUGGAAUGCGCAGAUAUCAGGAGGAACACCAAUAGCGAAGGCAGCUCGCUGGGAGGGUACUGACGCUAAGGCGCGAAAGCGUGGGGAGCGAACAGG
rnacentral:rRNA from 1 species